UGUGGGAGCGAGCCUGCUCGCGAUAGCGUCGGAUCAGCCAACAUCAAUGUUGACUGGUUUAUCGCUAUCGCGAGCAGGCUCGCUCCCACA
rnacentral:misc_RNA from 1 species